GACGACGCUGGCGGCGUGCCUAACACAUGCAAGUCGAACGGAGAUGCCGAGGUAGCUUGCUACAUUGGUAUCUUAGUGGCGGACGGGUGAGUAACACGUGGGCAACCUGCCCCAAAGAGGGGGAUAACACCGAGAAAUCGGUGCUAAUACCGCAUAACAUUAGAGCUUCGCAUGGAGCUUUAAUCAAAGGAGCAAUCCGCUUUGGGAUGGGCCCGCGUCUGAUUAGCUAGUUGGUGAGGUAAUGGCUCACCAAGGCGACGAUCAGUAGCCGAUCUGAGAGGAUGACCGGCCACACUGGAACUGAGACACGGUCCAGACUCCUACGGGAGGCAGCAGUGGGGAAUAUUGCGCAAUGGACGGAAGUCUGACGCAGCGACGCCGCGUGAGCGAAGAAGGCCUUCGGGUCGUAAAGCUCUGUUCUUGGGGACGAAUAAAAUGACGGUACCCAAGGAGAAAGCCCCGGCUAACUACGUG
rnacentral:rRNA from 1 species